rnacentral:rRNA from 1 species
GUAGGUGGCAAGCGUUGUCCGGAAUCAUUGGGCGUAAAGCGCGUGCAGGCGGUCCUUUAAGUCUGAUGUGAAAGCCCACGGCUCAACCGUGGGGGGUCAUUGGAAACUGGGGGACUUGAGUACAGAAGAGGAAAGCGGAAUUCCAAGUGUAGCGGUGAAAUGCGUAGAGAUUUGGAGGAACACCAGUGGCGAAGGCGGCUUUCUGGUCUGUAACUGACGCUGAGGCGCGAAAGCGUGGGGAGCAAACAGGGAUUAGAUACCCUGGUAGUCCACGCCGUAAACGAUGAGUGCUAAGUGUUAGGGGGUUUCCCGCCCCUUAGUGCUGUAGCUAACGCAUUAAGCACUCCGCCUGGGGAGUACGGCCGCAAGGCUG